rnacentral:rRNA from 1 species
CCUACGGGUGGCAGCAGUGGGGAAUAGUGCACAAUGGGGGAAACCCUGAUGCAGCGACGCCGCGUGAGUGAAGAAGUAAUUCGUUAUGUAAAGCUCUAUCAGCAGGGAAGAAAAUGACGGUACAGGAGUAAGAAGCACCGGCGAACUACGUGCCAGCAGACGCGGGAAUACGUAGGGGGCAAGCGUUAUCCGGAUUUACUGGGUGUAAAGGGAGCGUAGACGGCAGUGCAAGUCUGGAGUGAAAGGCGGGGGCUCAACCCCCGGACUGCUCUGGAAACUGUACGGCUGGAGUGCAGGAGAGGUAAGUGGAUUUCCUAGUGUCGCGGUGACAUGCGUAGAUAUUAGGAGGAACACCAGUGGCGAAGGCGGCUUACUGGACUGUACCUGACGUUGCGGCUCGAACGUGUGGGUAUCAAACAGGAUUAGAUACCCCAGUAGUC